rnacentral:rRNA from 1 species
UACGGGGGGGGGCAAGCGUUGUUCGGAAUUACUGGGCGUAAAGGGCUCGUAGGCGGCCAACUAAGUCAGACGUGAAAUCCCUCGGCUUAACCGGGGAACUGCGUCUGAUACUGGAUGGCUUGAAUCCGGGAGAGGGAUGCGGAAUUCCAGGUGUAGCGGUGAAAUGCGUAGAUAUCUGGAGGAACACCGGUGGCGAAGGCGGCAUCCUGGACCGGCAUUGACGCUGAGGAGCGAAAGCCAGGGGGAGCAAAACGGGG